GUCAUUUAAGGGCUAGCCUCCAAAAGGAGAAUGUCAGCUGGAUGAAGGCUGCUCCCUGAGAAGGAUUGGUCUGUAAUCAGAGACCCUCUUGCUGGUUGGUUGCUGCUGCCAUGAUAGCCCACUGAGCCUCCCUUCAAAGACCUGCAACUUCCUAUCUCUGCUGAAGCAGGAGUAGCAGCCAAUAAGACAAAGCUGUAUUUCCUUCCUUUGGUUAUCUGUUUCUUGGAUGCUCAACGCCUGCUCUUUUUCACCCUGCAUUUGUGCAUUCCUAUCUCUGAAUAUUAAUUCUGUAUUACAAAUAAAUAAUCCCACUCUGAAUGAGUAUACCCCUGUUGGUACCUCUUGCCCUGGGGGAGAAGUAAGUCUUGUCACAAACAGGGAGCUACUGGUCUGUAUUUAAGAUGAAGCUAAGAAACAACGUGACUAUCAAUGUUGCUUGCUCCAAAAGUAAUUCCUCAAAUUUAUUUCCAGGGAAAUUAUAACAAAGAGCACAAUAACACUGCUCAACAGAAAAAAUUCUCAGCAACAAAACACCAUUUUUCAACACAGCCACCACCGUUAGGUAUACAUUUUCACCAGCAAUAAACAAGAGCUUUCAUGCCUCUCAUAAAAACCUGCACUAGUGCUAAUGACCCACUAUCACACAGCUGCUGUGAUGGCGUUGUUGCUGAAAUACAUACCCCAC
ensembl:lncRNA